rnacentral:rRNA from 1 species
UACGUAGGGGGCAAGCGUUGUCCGGAUUUAUUGGGCGUAAAGAGCGUGUAGGCGGCCAUGCAGGUCCGUUGUGAAAACUCGAGGCUCAACCUCGAGACGUCGAUGGAAACCGCAUGGCUAGAGUCCGGAAGAGGAGAGUGGAAUUCCUGGUGUGAGCGGUGAAAUGCGCAGAUAUCAGGAAGAACACCCGUGGCGAAGGCGGCUCUCUGGGACGGUACUGACGCUGAGACGCGAAAGCGUGGGGAGCGAACAGG